GACGAACGCUGGCGGCGUGCUUAACACAUGCAAGUCGAACGGAAAGGCCCUGCUUUUGUGGGGUGCUCGAGUGGCGAACGGGUGAGUAACACGUGAGUAACCUGACCUUGACUCUGGGAUAACUUCAGGAAACUUGGGCUAAUACCGGAUAGGAGCUCCUGCUGCAUGGUGGGGGUUGGAAAGUUUCGGAGGUUGGGGUUGGACUCGCGGGUUAUCAGCUUGUUGGUGGGGUUGUGGCUUACCAAGGCUUUGACGGGUAGCCGGCCUGAGAGGGUGACCGGCCACAUUGGGACUGAGACACGGCCCAGACUCCUACGGGAGGCAGCAGUGGGGAAUAUUGCACAAUGGGCGGAAGCCUGAUGCAGCAACGCCGCGUGCGGGAUGACGGCCUUCGGGUUGUAAACCGCUUUCGCCUGUGACGAAGCGUGAGUGACGGUAAUGGGUAAAGAAGCACCGGCUAACUACGUG
rnacentral:rRNA from 1 species